rnacentral:rRNA from 1 species
AUAAGCGUUGAAAAGCUUCUGGAUGACUUGAGGGUAGGGGUGAAAGGCUAAUCAAGCUGGGAAAUAGCUCGUACUCCCCGAAAUGCCUUUAGGGGCAGCGUUGUAAUAAAGAGUCUACUGGAGGUAGAGCUACUGAUUGGAUGCGGGGGCUUCACCGCCUACCAAAUCCUGACAAACUCCGAAUGCCAGUAGUAUGAUUUACAGCAGUGAGUGACUGGGUGCUAAUGUCCAGUCGCAAAAGAGGAACAACUCAGACCAGCAACUAAGGUCCCGAAGAAUAUGCUAAGUUGAUCUAACGAUGUUUUGUUGCAGAGACAGCUAGGAUGUUAGCUUGGAAGCAGCUAUUCAUUCAAAGAGUGCGUAACAGCUCACUAGUCGAGCGACAGAGCGUGGAUAAUAAACGGGCAUCAAGCAUAUCACCGAAGUUCUGGGCGCGAGAGCGCGGUAGGGGAGCAUUCCAUUCAGCGUCGAAGCAGUUUCGUGAGGAAUUGUGGAGCGUAUGGAAAAGCAAAUGUAGGCAUGAGUAACGAUAAUGCGGGAGAGUAACCCGCACACCGCAAGACCAAGGUUUCCUGAUCAACGCUAAUCGGAUCAGGGUUAGUCGGGUCCUAAGGGUAAGCCGAACGGCGAUCUCGAUGGAUAAUCGGUUAAUAUUCCGAUACUAACAUAUACCUCGAUGGAGAGACGAAGGAACGUAAGUGCCGCCACCUGACGGAAUAGGUGGUUAAAGGGCGUAGGUAUAGGGGCAGAUUAAGAGUUAGUCCUUGCUGAAACCUGACAGUACAGAGAGCCUACGGGCAAUUUGAUAGAGCACCCAAGUCGACUUCCGAGAAAAUCUUCUAAGUUAUAGUAUAUGUUACCCGUACCGUAAACCGACACAGGUGGUCGAGGAGAGUAUCCUAAGGUGCUCGAGUGAAUCACGGUUAAGGAACUAGGCAAAUUAACCCCGUAACUUCGGGAAAAGGGGUCCCUAUGAAAGUAGGGCGCAGCGAAGAGGUCCAGGCGACUGUUUAUCAAAAACACAGGGCUCUGCAAAUUCGAAAGAAGACGUAUAGGGCCUGACACCUGCCCGGUGCUGGAAGGUUAAGAGGGGAUGUCAUCGCAAGAGAAGCAUUGAAUCGAAGCCCCAGUAAACGGCGGCCGUAACUAUAACGGUCCUAAGGUAGCGAAAUUCCUUGUCGGGUAAGUUCCGACCUGCACGAAUGGUGUAACGAUCUGGACACUGUCUCAACCGUGAGCUCGGUGAAAUUGUAGUCCCGGUGAAGAUGCCGGGUACCCGCAACGGGACGAAAAGACCCCGUGAACCUUUACUAUAGCUUAACGCUGAAUUUGGGUACACAAUGUGUAGGAUAGGCCGGAGGCUUUGAAGCGGGCACGCCAGUGUUCGUGGAGCCGCUGUUGAAAUACGGCCCUUUGAUUAUUUGAGUUCUAACCCGCGGUUGCGGGGACACUGUUUGGUGGGUAGUUUGACUGGGGUGGUCGCCUCCAAAAGCGU